rnacentral:misc_RNA from 1 species
UUAAGUUCAGCGGGUAUCCCUACCUGAUCCGAGGUCAACCUUAAAAGUUGGGGGUUGUUGGCCAGCAUCCCUCCGGAACCCUAUAGCGAGGAGAUUUACUACGCUUAGAGCCGGACGGCACCGCCACUGAUUUUAAGGCCCGCCCAGAGGCGAAGGCCCAAGACCCCGCAAGCGGGAGUGGUCAAAAUGACGCUCGAACA